GGCACUAUGGCGGAGUGGUUAACGCGACAGACUCGAAUGUUUUCAUCUCGAUAUCUGUUCCUCUCUGAGGGCGCAGGUUCAAAUCCUGCUGGUGUCG
rnacentral:tRNA from 2 species